rnacentral:misc_RNA from 1 species
GAUGAAGAACGUAGCGAAAUGCGAUAAGUAAUGUGAAUUGCAGAAUUCAGUGAAUCAUCGAAUCUUUGAACGCACAUUGCGCCCCUUGGUAUUCCGAGGGGCAUGCCUGUUCGAGCGUCAUUAUAACCCCUCAAGCUCAGCUUGGUGUUGGGGCCUGCUGCACUGGCAGCCCUUAAAAUCAGUGGCGGCGCCAUCUGGCUCUAAGCGUAGUAAUUCUUCUCGCUAUGGAGUCCUGGUGGAUGCUUGCCAUCAACCCCCAAUUUUUCUAUGAUUGACCUCGGAUCAGGUAGGGAUACCCGCUGAACUUAAGCAUAUCAAUAAGCGGAGGA